GCUGUGCCAAGAAAGAAAAGACCAUGGAUCUACUAGUUGCAGAUUUCAGCAGUAAUGCCAAGGGGGCAAGAAGUGACCAGCAGAACAAUUAGGCCAUGGCAACAGAAGCCAACUACAACCCAUGUUCCAAUCUAUGACCUCCCUCUCCUGCUGGUACAAGGAUAUGGACUAGCCUAGAUGAUGAUGGCUCACCAAUUUCCUUGCAAGGGCAAGAGCUGAUAAUCAACUGACUAAUGAGGAUUGACUUCUACAAUUGAUGAGCAUGGAAUUGGAUGUGCCUAAAUCAACAGAAGAGGGAUUUUGAUGUCAUCACACUGUAGCCCCAGAAGACAGAACGCUCAAAGGUGUCAAUGGGCAGAAUUUGUAGAUGACAUACAGCAUCCAAUGGAUUACUCCUAUUCAGGAUAAUGGAAGAAAAAGGUUCUUACCCUUCAGCAGAUAGCAUGCUGAGCCCUGAACAAAUUUUAUGACUUCUGGUGCAAAGCAGACCCAGUCAGCUUGCCUCUAGCAACUGGUUAAUACUACUCCAAGGAAACCACACUUAAAAUUCUUGGAAGUUCUUUUACCAUCACAUCAAGUUGCAUUUUGAAGCUGAAGCCCUUCGAAUCCAUUUAUACCUUGUGAUAUUCCCUUGCCAGAUUGUUGUUUUGUUUGCUAGACAUGAUUUUAGGAUUUUGUCAAGGAAGCCAUCUAUGACCCCAAUCAAUCAAAACCAUAAGGAUCAAGGCUGGAAGAACCUAUUCCUUAGAGCAAAGGAUGCAAUGUCAAGCAAGUUGUGAUACCUCAACUAUCUACAAUUUAACACCAAGGAAAGAACACUGUUUGGAGAAAUGAGAAAGAUUAUCAUCAGUGUCUUUCAGAAGUCAUCAAAAGAAGAAAAGGAGAAAAGAGAGGAGAAAGCAGAAAGGUAUAGGAAAUUACCAGUUGAAGUAUGAAAAUUGAAGAGCAAGGAAAAAAGUAUUCAAAUGUUCAUAUUGAGGUUCAUAUACGAUUAAGAAGGAGAAGUGUAACUUAGAAAGAAAUUUUGUAAAAAGGAACAUUUAAAAGGAUUAUAAAAUGCUUAUGUAAAA
rnacentral:lncRNA from 1 species